rnacentral:snRNA from 1 species
UAACUCUGGUUUCCCUUCAAAACGCAUAAAUCUUUCGCCUUUUACUAAAGAUUUCCGUGGAGGGGAACACUCAAAUGAGUCUAUGAUAUUUUUUGAAAACCCUGCUUCGGCAGGGUU